ACCGGACGUCUGAAGGUCAACCGACCGCAGAGUCGAUGUGGGUCCUUGUCCCCCGUGGCUGAGUG
rnacentral:snoRNA from 1 species